rnacentral:tRNA from 1 species
GGGCGAAUGGUCUAGGGGUAUGAUACUCCCUUCGCAUGUCUGAAUCUUCAGCGUAGAUUGGGAGGGGUCCGGGGUUCAAUUCCCCGUUCGUCCA